rnacentral:tRNA from 1 species
GUGGUAGCUCAGUGGUAGAGCGCACCCUUGGUAAGGGUGAGGUCGGGAGUUCAAUCCUCCCCAGC